GAUGAACGCUGACAGAAUGCUUAACACAUGCAAGUCGAUUCGAUUUACCUUCGGGUAUUGAGGAUGGCGGACGGGUGAGUAACGCGUAAGGAACUUGCCUCUUGGUCUGGGACAACUGUUGGAAACGACAGCUAAUACCGGAUAUUAUGAGAUUCUCGCAUGGGAAACUUAUGAAAGCUAUAUGCGCCAAGAGAGAGCCUUGCGUUCCAUUAGCUAGUUGGUGGGGUAACGGCCCACCAAGGCGACGAUGGAUAGCCGGCCUGAGAGGGUGAACGGCCACAAGGGGACUGAGACACGGCCCUUACUCCUACGGGAGGCAGCAGUGGGGAAUAUUGGACAAUGGGCCACAAGCCUGAUCCAGCAAUUCUGUGUGCACGAUGAAGGUCUUCGGAUUGUAAAGUGCUUUCAGUUGGGAAGAAGAAAGUGACGGUACCAACAGAAGAAGCGACGGCUAAAUACGUGCCAGCAGCCGCGGUAAUACGUAUGUCGCAAGCGUUAUCCGGAUUUAUUGGGCGUAAAGCGCGUCUAGGCGGAAAAAUAAGUCUGAUGUUAAAAUGCGGGGCUCAACUCCGUANUGCGUUGGAAACUGUUUUUCUAGAGUACUGGA
rnacentral:rRNA from 1 species